rnacentral:rRNA from 1 species
GAUGAACGCUGGCGGCGUGCCUAAUACAUGCAAGUCGAGCGAACAGACGAGGAGCUUGCUCCUCUGACGUUAGCGGCGGACGGGUGAGUAACACGUGGAUAACCUACCUAUAAGACUGGGAUAACUUCGGGAAACCGGAGCUAAUACCGGAUAAUAUAUUGAACCGCAUGGUUCAAUAGUGAAAGACGGUUUUGCUGUCCCUUAUAGAUGGAUCCGCGCCGCAUUAGCUAGUUGGUAAGGUAACGGCUUACCAAGGCUACGAUGCGUAGCCGACCUGAGAGGGUGAUCGGCCACACUGGAACUGAGACACGGUCCAGACUCCUACGGGAGGCAGCAGUAGGGAAUCUUCCGCAAUGGGCGAAAGCCUGACGGAGCAACGCCGCGUGAGUGAUGAAGGUCUUCGGAUCGUAAAACUCUGUUAUUAGGGAAGAACAAAUGUGUAAGUAACUAUGCACGUCUUGACGGUACCUAAACAGAAAGCCACGGCUAACUACGUG